UACGGAGGGGGCUAGCGUUGUUCGGAAUUACUGGGCGUAAAGCGCGCGUAGGCGGCUUUGUAAGUUAGAGGUGAAAGCCCGGAGCUCAACUCCGGAACUGCCUUUAAGACUGCAUCGCUAGAAUCGUGGAGAGGUGAGUGGAAUUCCGAGUGUAGAGGUGAAAUUCGUAGAUAUUCGGAAGAACACCAGUGGCGAAGGCGACUCACUGGACACGAUUGACGCUGAGGUGCGAAAGCGUGGGGAGCAAACAGG
rnacentral:rRNA from 1 species